CACUAAGAAGCUUUAAUGGUAAUAAGCAUUAGCCUUUUAAGCUAAAAUUUGGUGACUACCAACCACCCUUGGUGA
rnacentral:tRNA from 1 species